rnacentral:lncRNA from 1 species
UAUAGUAUUAUUAAGCCAAAAAAAAUCCAAGAUAUAUAUGCCAAUUCAGAAUUCUAUAUAAUCCAAAUACUUACUCACUGACUAUCCCUAGAGUAAGCGGCAAAGGAUUUGGUGGUUGAUACCCGAGUUUCCAAGUUCGAAUCCUAAUUGAUUAAUAUUUUCAACUAAGUUUAUUUUUUAAAUAAAAUAAACAAAACAGGUAGCGUGCUACCUAUUUCUCAAAAAAAAAAUUACUUACUUUAAAUAUAAAAAAAGGACAGUCAACUACUUACAUAACAAAAC